rnacentral:rRNA from 1 species
CCCUUAUCCUUUGUUGCCAGCGAUCCGGCCGGGAACUCAAAGGAGACUGCCAGUGAUAAACUGGAGGAAGGUGGGGAUGACGUCAAGUCAUCAUGGCCCUUACGAGUAGGGCUACACACGUGCUACAAUGGCGCAUACAAAGAGAAGCGAACUCGCGAGAGCAAGCGGACCUCAUAAAGUGCGUCGUAGUCCGGAUCGGAGUCUGCAACUCGACUCCGUGAAGUCGGAAUCGCUAGUAAUCGUGGAUCAGAAUGCCACGGUGAAUACGUU